rnacentral:lncRNA from 1 species
GGGCGCGCCAUGUUGCCGUACGGCACCGGCCUGCUCCGCGGCGAGGCGUGGAGCUCUUUGCACCAGGAGCUUGCCGAAGCCGCUCGGCCAAUCAGAAACUCCAGCCUCAGACCUGCCCCACAACCCCAAGCCAUCGCGUGGAGUCGCAUCGGAGCCGCGGAGAAAAGGAAGAGGGGGAAACCACUGUGAUGCCCGCCCGGCCCAGGGUGGGGAGGCAAGGUCCGCAGGUGUUGAUGAGGAAGCCUGAACGUCAACACUCUGCGCGGAGACUUCGGCUCUGCAGCCUUCCUUCCACGGUGGUGGGCAUCUUGCCAAUUUGCAGGACCAAGAAAGAAGCCCAGCUGCUCUCAGAGGACCCGAACUUCAAUUUUAAACCCACCUCCUCUCAUUGUGUCCGGCCUUCUGGGCUUACAGCAUUUCAAUAGGAGCGGGGUGGGGUGGGGUGGGGUAGCUCUCCAAUGGCUGACCGGACUCUUAAGAGAUGAUUUAAUUUUCUUAUCCUUGGGUUUCUCAAAAUGGGUUUCCCUGAAAUAAAGGUUCCCCCAUCUU